UUAGCGGCGGACGGGUGAGUAACGCGUGGACAACCUGCCCUAUGCAGGGGGAUAACAUCCGGAAACGGGUGCUAAUACCGCAUAAGCGCACAGUACCGCAUGGUACGGUGUGAAAAGCUGAGGCGGCAUAGGAUGGGUCCGCGUUGGAUUAGGCAGUUGGCGGGGUAACGGCCCACCAAACCGACGAUCCAUAGCCGGCCUGAGAGGGUGGACGGCCACAUUGGGACUGAGACACGGCCCAGACUCCUACGGGAGGCAGCAG
rnacentral:rRNA from 1 species